rnacentral:rRNA from 1 species
CGUCCUACGGGGGGCAGCAGUGGGGGAUAUUGCACAAUGGGGGAAACCCUGAUGCAGCGACGCCGCGUGGGCGAAGAAGUAUUUCGGUAUGUAAAGCCCUAUCAGCAGGGAAGAAAAUGACGGUACCUGAGUAAGAAGCCCCGGCUAACUACGUGCCAGCAGCCGCGGUAAUACGUAGGGGGCAAGCGUUAUCCGGAUUUACUGGGUGUAAAGGGAGCGUAGACGGCAGUGCAAGUCUGGAGUGACAGGCGGGGGCUCAACCCCCG